rnacentral:rRNA from 1 species
UACGUAGGGUGCGAGCGUUAAUCGGAAUUACUGGGCGUAAAGCGUGCGUAGGCGGUUCUCCAAGUCCGUUGUGAAAGCCCCGGGCUCAACCUGGGAAUGGCAUUGGAAACUGGCGGGCUUGAGUGUGGCAGAGGGGGGUGGAAUUCCGCGUGUAGCAGUGAAAUGCGUAGAUAUGCGGAGGAACACCGAUGGCGAAGGCAAUCCCCUGGGCCUGCACUGACGCUCAUGCACGAAAGCGUGGGGAGCAAACAGG